rnacentral:rRNA from 1 species
UACGGAGGAUGCAAGCGUUAUCCGGAAUGAUUGGGCGUAAAGCGUCCGCAGGUGGUGUUGUAAGUCUGUUGUUAAAGCGUGCGGCUUAACCGCAUAAGGGCGAUGGAAACUACAAGACUAUAGUGCGUUAGGGGUAGAGGGAAUUCCUGGUGUAGCGGUGAAAUGCGUAGAGAUCAGGAAGAACACCAGUGGCGAAAGCGCUCUACUAUGCCGCAACUGACACUGAGGGACGAAAGCUAGGGGAGCGAAUGGG